UACGGUGGGGGCAAGCGUUGUUCGGAAUUACUGGGCGUAAAGGGCUCGUAGGUGGCCAACUAAGUCAUACGUGAAAUCCCUCGGCUUAACCGGGGAACUGCGUCUGAUACUGGAUGGCUUGAGGUUGGGAGAGGGAUGCGGAAUUCCAGGUGUAGCGGUGAAAUGCGUAGAUAUCUGGAGGAACACCGGUGGCGAAGGCGGCAUCCUGGACCAAUUCUGACACUGAGGAGCGAAAGCCAGGGGAGCAAACGGG
rnacentral:rRNA from 1 species